rnacentral:rRNA from 1 species
GACGAACGCUGGCGGCGUGCUUAACACAUGCAAGUCGAACGGAAAGGCCCUGCUUGCUGGGUACUCGAGUGGCGAACGGGUGAGUAACACGUGGGUGAUCUGCCCUUCACUUCGGGAUAAGCCUUGGAAACUGGGUCUAAUACCGGAUAUGAGCUACUUUUAGUGUGAUGGUUGGAAAGUUUUUUCGGUGUGGGAUGAUCUCCCGGCCUAUAAGCUUGUUGGUGGGGUAAUGGCUUACAAGGGCGGCGACGGGUAGCCGGCCUGGGAGGGUGACCGGCACAAUGGGGACGGAGAAAGGGCCAGGACUCGAAGGGGAGGAGGAGGGGGGAAAAAUUGAAAAGGGGGGGAAGGCUGAUGGAGGGAAGGCGGGGGGGGGAAGAAGGGCUUUGGGGUGGAAAACCUCUUCGAGAGGGAAGAAAGUGAAAGUGACGGUACCUAGAGAAGAAGCACCGGCUAACUACGUG